rnacentral:rRNA from 1 species
GGAAGUUAAUGUCUCCGUUUGGUGACCAGCGGAGGGAUCAUUACCGAGUUGCAAAACUCCAACCCGUGUGAACCUGAGCCACCGUUGCUUCGGCGGGCUCGCCCGCCGGAGGUUCCGAACUCUAUCAAUAUGUGGGAGUCUCUGAGGAAAAAAAAAAAAAAAAAAAGCAAAAAUAAUCAAAAUUUUCAACAACGGAUCUUUUGGUUCUGGCAUCGAUAAAAAACGCAGCGAAAUGCGAUAAGUAAUGUGAAUUGCAAAAUUCAGGGAAUCAUCAAAUCUUUGAACGCACUUUGCGCCCGCCGGUUUUCCGGCGGGCAUGCCUGUCCAAGCGUCUUUUCAACCCUCAGGCCCUCCGGGGCCUGGGGUUGGGGCGCCCGGGUCACCCGCGCCAGCGCGGGCCCCGGGGCCCCCAAGUCCAUCGGCGGUCUCGUCGGUACGCCGAGCGCAGUAAGACGCGGUAAAACGCCCCCCUCGCCCGGACCGUGUCGGCGCGCACCAGCCGCUAAACCCCCCAUCGAAUCAUCAGGGUUGACCUCGGAUCGGGUAGGAAUACCCGCUGAACUUAAGCAUAUCAUAAGGGGAAGAAA